rnacentral:rRNA from 1 species
GACGAACGCUGGCGGCGUGCUUAACACAUGCAAGUCGAACGCUGAAGCCCUUUCGGGGGUGGAUGAGUGGCGAACGGGUGAGUAACACGUGGGUAAUCUGCCCUGUACUUCGGGAUAAGCCUUGGAAACGGGGUCUAAUACCGGAUAGGACCUGUCCUCGCAUGGGGGUGGGUGGAAAGUUCCGGCGGUACGGGAUGAGCCCGUGGCCUAUCAGAUUGUGGGUGGGGUAGUGGCCUACCAAGGCGACGACGGAUAGGCGGCCUGAGAGGGUGGCCGGUCACACUGGGACUGAGACACGGCCCAGACUCCUACGGGAGGCAGCAGUGGGGAAUCUUGCGCAAUGGGCGAAAGCCUGACGCAGCAACGCCGCGUGGGGGAUGACGGCCUUCGGGUUGUAAACCUCUUUCGACAUCGACGAAGGGGCCCUGUUGUGGGGUUUUGACGGUAGGUGUAGAAGAAGCACCGGCUAACUACGUGCCAGCCGCCGCCGUAA